rnacentral:rRNA from 1 species
GCUACAGGCUUAACACAUGCAAGUCGAGGGGCAUCAGGAAGAAAGCUUGCUUUCUUUGCUGGCGACCGGCGCACGGGUGAGUAACACGUAUCCAACCUGCCCUUUACUCGGGGAUAGCCUUUCGAAAGAAAGAUUAAUACCCGAUGGCAUAAUGAUUCCGCAUGGUUUCAUUAUUAAAGGAUUCCGGUAAAGGAUGGGGAUGCGUUCCAUUAGGUUGUUGGUGGGGUAACGGCCCACCAAGCCUUCGAUGGAUAGGGGUUCUGAGAGGAAGGUCCCCCACAUUGGAACUGAGACACGGUCCAAACUCCUACGGGAGGCAGCAGUGAGGAAUAUUGGUCAAUGGGCGCUAGCCUGAACCAGCCAAGUAGCGUGAAGGAUGAAGGCUCUAUGGGUCGUAAACUUCUUUUAUAUAAGAAUAAAGUGCAGUAUGUAUACUGUUUUGUAUGUAUUAUAUGAAUAAGGAUCGGCUAACUCCGUGCCAGCAGCCGCGGUAAUACGGAGGAUCCGAGCGUUAUCCGGAUUUAUUGGGUUUAAAGGGAGCGUAGGUGGACUGGUAAGUCAGUUGUGAAAGUUUGCGGCUCAACCGUAAAAUUGCAGUUGAUACUGUCAGUCUUGAGUACAGUAGAGGUGGGCGGAAUUCGUGGUAUAGCGGUGAAAUGCUUAGAUAUCACGAAGAACUCCGAUUGCGAAGGCAGCUCACUGGACUGCAACUGACACUGAUGCUCGAAAGUGUGGGUAUCAAACAGGAUUAGAUACCCUGGUAGUCCACACAGUAAACGAUGAAUACUCGCUGUUUGCGAUAUACAGUAAGCGGCCAAGCGAAAGCAUUAAGUAUUCCACCUGGGGAGUACGCCGGCAACGGUGAAACUCAAAGGAAUUGACGGGGGCCCGCACAAGCGGAGGAACAUGUGGUUUAAUUCGAUGAUACGCGAGGAACCUUACCCGGGCUUAAAUUGCAGUGGAAUGAUGUGGAAACAUGUCAGUGAGCAAUCACCGCUGUGAAGGUGCUGCAUGGUUGUCGUCAGCUCGUGCCGUGAGGUGUCGGCUUAAGUGCCAUAACGAGCGCAACCCUUAUCUUUAGUUACUAACAGGUCAUGCUGAGGACUCUAGAGAGACUGCCGUCGUAAGAUGUGAGGAAGGUGGGGAUGACGUCAAAUCAGCACGGCCCUUACGUCCGGGGCUACACACGUGUUACAAUGGGGGGUACAGAAGGCAGCUAGCGGGUGACCGUAUGCUAAUCCCAAAAUCCUCUCUCAGUUCGGAUCGAAGUCUGCAACCCGACUUCGUGAAGCUGGAUUCGCUAGUAAUCGCGCAUCAGCCACGGCGCGGUGAAUACGUUCCCGGGCCUUGUACACACCGCCCGUCAAGCCAUGGGAGCCGGGGGUACCUGAAGUACGUAACCGCAAGGAUCGUCCUAGGGUAAAACUGGUGACUGGGGCU